GUGACCCCACCCCACCCCCUCACAACCCCAGUCUGUGGUCACGUCUGCUGUGUGGACACACGGACACAGGAGAUUCGCAGAGCCACGCGCAGCCCUGCCCCAGCCAUAGUAUCUUCCUCUACCUAGCCUUUGACCAGUGCCAAGCACAAGUAAGAUAAACUGAGACUAGUGUGUUUUCGUUUUGCUUUCUCUUGACUGCCUCUGGAUGGCUAGUAGAGUAGUAAAAAGGUCUAGGCAGAGAAACCACGGAGAAGACAAAGAACGAAUCCCCAGCUGGUUAAUCAGCUCCUGAAUCAUCCGAAAAGGAGUUUCAGGCAUUAGAGUUGAUAGGCAGGGGCUGAAUGAACACUGCUUCUCAAUUUGAAUGUGGGGUUAAGUCCUCAGCGGGAGGUCUGCAAAGGCUACGUCCUUGGAGGAAGGCAGGAGCAGAGGUUUUGGAUUUGGUCUCAUAAACUUUCUUGAGUGGCCUUUGUCGGGAGGCUCACAGAUGGUUGGGCUCCACCACUGUCAAGAUGCACCAUCAGGGGUCAAACACCCACCCCCCACCCCAUGCCAGGCCCCUGCUCUGGCUUUCGAUGGGAAACAGGAGAACCACCUGGCAGGGAUCCAGGACAGUGCCACAGGUGUCCCAAGGCCCAUGAAGACGAUGCCUGCAACAGAUGGCAUCAGCAGGCCCCAGAAACCUGAGUCUCAGAGCAGGGCCACCUUGGAGGAGGAGCCGUCUUACUCAGGAGGGCUGUGCCAGCCCAGGUCAAGGUCUCUUUGCAGCCUCCCCCACUAGAUAAACAUACACUCUCCAGAAGGAAAACAAUUGGGGCACUCUUCACCCGCAAGAGGAGGUGGGCAGGGUGGGAGGUCCUGUGUGACGCCCUUUGGGAACAUCAGGAGAGGUGAUCCACUCCUUCUGUCAGAAGGCCGAAUCUUUCUGCCGAGACCGGCCAGAGGAAGCACUGAGUUGCAUAGAGGGGUUUGUAAUACACUUACCAGGGAGGAGAGAAGCCAAAAGUGACAGACCUCAACAUUACCUCUUCAAGGUCUGAUGGUCCCUCAGUUUCUAAGCAAAGUUCCUUCUGAAAUGUUCCGAUUGGCUCAGCUGGGUUGCAAGAAAAGAGCAGCCAGGAUGCUCCAGACGCCCACUUCAGUCUCUCCUCCAUGGCCUCCAGCAGGGACCAACACCCAGCAACGCUGAGGAGAGCAAAGGCCAGCCAUCCGUCACCUGCACACCUGGAUCCUGCCCGCCGCUCUCCCCUGGGGCCUGGCCAGCCACCUGGGAACUCUGCCACCCCUGCCUGGGACUGAGGAAGCAAGAGGUGGCUGCUUUAUAACACGAGAAUCCCAAGAUGAAAACACAAAAGGCUGUCUGCUCCCAAGUGAUUUUUCUUGCUUUUAGUUUAAGCGAAAAAGGGAGACUUUAUCAUAUCAGAAGGGGGUAGCUGAUGGAACUCUGGAGCAGGCACGUAGCAGGCCUUUAGUAAGUGACCGAACCAAGCCCCAGAAAGGCCCUGGCCCGGAGGCAGCUUCUCUCUCUGGCUCUCCUUGGCUCACCUCUUAGCUCUCUUUACACUGGCUUUAUAUUCUCUCCACAGAAAAGCCUUCUCUGAUCCUUAAUGCAAACUACUGCCCCAUAACACCCACUUCCACACGUCCUUCAGUUCUGGCUACGUGCAGAAACCUAAGAGGAAAGGUUUCUUAUCAGAUGUUUUUCUGGACUUGCUCUGUAUUUCACGGCUCAAAGUAGAUGCUCCACCUAGACCAAGUCAACCUGGAGAGGACCACGGGCCCAGCCCUGUCACAAGCCGGGCACGGCGGGGAGACAGGCCUUCCCGCGCCGCCAUCACCUCAAAUGUACAAUGGCAAGAAGAGACUUUUUUCCCCCAAUUCUGGGGAAACUCAGCCCCUCAGAGUUAGAUCAGGGGUCUCAAAUGCCAUUAAACACUACUGAUCAAAGUGGCAGAAGCUGUGCUCACAGGAAGCUGUUGAAUCUCACUUCCUUGCCCUUUGGUUGGUGAGGGAAGAGACAGGGCAGUAAUAACUCCGGAACAACACGGGCACGUGGAAACAGCUACAGAGCUCUGUGCACUCUACUUACACAAGGAAAUGUUACAAGAUAAUGUCUCAGAAAGGAAAGUGCUGGAAAGCCACCAAACCCUCUCCCACACUAUGGCUCCAUGCUAAGACCAGGGGGCUAGUUCUUAGCCCCCUUCCCCAAAAAGUCCCUCCUGAUUCUGGGACAGGCCCAAACCCCCUCAUUCGUCUGAACACUGCGGCUAUUCAUUCGACCUGGACAGGCAUAACGUCCAGGCCAGGCUGCUUAGCAACCCAUCUCCUCUAGCCACCCGCCCCUGCCAAUCAGGUGGGCAAAGAGGAGGCGCGUCUGGAGGAUUGCCACGCCAAAUUCAGGUUGGUCAUCAAUCAGCUACUCUAUAGAGAGUGCCAGUCUCCAGGGGCCUCACAACAAUCCCUUUGUAGCAGUGACUCUGGAGGAACCAAUAUGAAAAAGUGUGGCAGUAACAAAAUGUGGGACUGUGAAAGAUCCCUAAAUUUCCCUCCAGGGGACAGCUUUCUGGGUGCUAAUGGUGGGAAAAUGUCAGUGGGUACAUCCUCCCUCCCCUCCCUGGCCAGUUGGCUGGCCAUGAGGAGGACUGACCGUUUACUGUUCAAAGGCCCCCUGGGGGCUCUUUCCCUGAAAUGCAGAGCUGAGGAAGGAGGCAAGAUAUCCAUGUUGGAAUUCUCCGUGUCUAUUCCAGAGGCACAGGAAGUUAGUCACGGAACGUGCAAGGUCUCUUCAAAGGGGGAAAUACUUGUUUACCCAGGGGCUCCCAGGGUACGUAAAUGGCCAUGAGCCUCCCUGGAGCUUCUGGCAGCUUUUGUGACCCCGGCAAUGGGGGUGGGUGGGGGUAGGGGAGGGCUGGGGAUUCCUGCAUUUCACAAGGUCCUUGUCUGGCUUGGCUGAGGUUGUUCAGUCAUGUCUCUGGGAAAAAACAGAUGAUGGGGCAAAAUCACAAACAGGAAGUUUUCUUUCCCCCAUCUUUUAGUCCUUCCCUUUUUGGCUUGGCUCCUCAUUCCACCACAAUUAAUCUUUCUACACAGAUUACAAAAAAAAAAAGAUAAACUUGGUAGUUGGUUUCAACUUGCCCACAAGUAUACUCUUUGCUUUCCCAUCUUCAUGCCAUGUGCGCAUGCGUGCAAACACACACACACACACACACACACACACACACACAAAAUGGUGGGGCGUGCCCAGUGUGCACCCUGAGACCCGUGGAGCCACGGACUCUUACUCAAUCCCAAACCCAACAUCCCCAGGAACAAGUCCCACCCCAACUUCAGUGGAGCAGUGGAAUCCAGCUCCACGGUUCCUCCGAGCAAAGUGCCAACCAAGGGAAUGUGGACCCGACUCCAAGCGCGAGAAGAUUCUCCUGCCUUAAGAGAAUCCUAUAUGCCAAAUGCAUAAAUGAGCCUCCACAAACUGGAAGCCAUACAAUUCUGCAUAAAGGUUUCCUGGAAAGACUUUGGAAUCUGUGCUUGCUCAGACUCCCCAUUUGUGUCACAGGCACCCGUGGGACUUCCAAGGCCCUGGAGAAUCAAACAAUGGGAAUCUGUGCCUCCUGGUGGCCACACCUUGUUAUGUUUUAGAAUGUAAUUCUCCUGCCCUCUGACACGAACAGGCUGGGCUGUGAGCUGAGCUAAGCUCCUGGGCAUGUGUCACUGUAUCAAAGUGACCCUGAAGAAGAAAGCCAACAACCAAGUUCCUUGGGAUCCUAAAGCAGCUUAACCCUACACCCUGCCUGAGCACGGAGGAGAGCUUGAUUAUACCCCACAAUGAAGGGCCUGGAGCCACAGCAUCACGUCUUCAAAUGGAGCUGGGUCCAGGACUUCAAGCACUGCUGAAGAAAGCUGUGCUAGGGAGGGGAGCAGGGUGUCUGGAGAGACCACUCAGGAGGGGUGUCAAAUACCCUAAAGACGCUUUUUAGAACCAUUGACACUCAACUGCCCACUGAGGCAAGUCUCAUCCAAUGACAGCAGCCUCAGAGGAAGACAGGACUGGGGGAGGGGGCCCACACUCAAGAUGAAUACCUAGAGAGACAUCCUCCUACGAGUUAUGCCUCAGAUACCAGGAAUUCAGUACAAAAAUUAACCGAGCACCCAUGAUAGUUAUCUUGGAAGCCAGCCACAAUGUCAGAAAAAACAUCCGAAAAAGUAUUUAAAAUGAUGGAGCUAAGGAGAUAGAAAGAAGGUUCACAUUACUAAACUGCCAGUAGUUCAAGAAACCGGUUUUACAAAACCUGCAAUAGGGAGAGAUUCUUGCUGUGCCCUUCAAGAAUCAGGAAGAGAGCAGUUAGAAGGACACAAGUAAAAAGCAGCAAGAACCCACUGUUCCUUUUCUUCCCGCAAAGCAGUGUUUUGGAAUGCAAAGGGGACAGCUGUCUUGACUUGUAUGAACCCAUCCCUCUGGCUUCCAGGUGGCUAUUCCCAGUUGGUCAAAGUAAUGAACUCAGCCUGGAGAUCUGUUUACCAGACAGUUGUCUGCGUCAGCCAGGAGGCAUGAUGCCCACAGCCUGGAGACCUGGACAGACCUGGAUGUGAGAGCACACGCCCCUCAGACGUGGCAGGCAGAUGGGUUUUCACCCAGCUCUUUAGGAAGGUGAAAACAAAGCAUCCUACCGAGGAGAGCAUCUCACCUAGCAGCUCCUAGGAGAAAGGGCCAGGAAAACUUAGGAGGCUCUCUAGUUCAAGUCCAGUUAAGAUACAAAAGAAAACAAAAUCCACAGCUUCCUAAGAAGCCAAGUGAGAAGACAAGAAAGGGAGAAAGAGAGCUCUGAGCUGGUCAAAGAAACCAAACUCUGAGGCAAGGCCUCCUCUUCUGACUGUCUGCAUCCUUCCAGCCUCCCGGCCUCACCAGAGACGAAGGCCCCACCAAACAGGGCAUGAGGCGGCGCAGCAGGCUGGGGGACGUCCCCAGAGAACAGUGAUCCGAACCUGCCAAUUUUGGUUUCUUAAUCAAUUGUGUCUGAGACUUGUAAGAAUGCCAGUCACGGCAGGGGCCUUGUUCUCAGGAAUUACAGAACCUAGAAUGUGACUCCCCCUGCAGAGAAUACAAAAGUCCAGCCACCGAUGAAACUAUGACUAGAGCAGAGGAAGGAAGUAAAAACAAUAUGGCUCCAUGAAGCGGGAAAAGCUGCCAUUUGAGCUGGGAGGAUUUACUCAGCAGAGAAGUACCAGGUCCUGGUAGCGAGAAUGGAAGUUUAUUUACAGCCAACAAUGCUUCAUCAACCCUUCCUGGAACCAGCCCUACAGAGCACACUCAAAGGUCCAGCGUCCAACUUGAGACAAGGAAACACAGCCUCCAGAAGCUGGAUUCUGCCAAAGCGAAACGUUGCUCCCAACUGUGGGAGCAUUAGGGACAGAGAAAGCACUCUGAACAGAGGGCAAAGGGCAGCCUCCCCCCCUAGCUGGGGGAAGAAUGCUACAGACUGUAUAUUUUCUGUUGGAUGAUGUAAUCCUGUAUCUUAAAAGUAGGUGGUGGCUGGGGAGGCGGAUUAGUAAAACAAUGCCUUCCAAACCGUAUAUUCUCUCAGACCUGGGACUGCCAAGCAGUCACAAAGUCCUCAUGAUCUGUCACUUAAUGAGCAGAGUACCUGCUUAAAAAUGAAUCCUCACUGUGGCCUGAGGCCCCAGGGGGACUCCCUGCCGACCAUUUCAGCCUCCUCCUCCCCGCCAGCAGGGCCCUGGCAAAGCCCGCUCCCUGGAACGCCCGCCUCCCCACUCUUGCCCCAUUGAGAUGUUCAGACUUCAGACCUCGGUUCACAGAAGCCUUCCUCCACCCCAUCCCCACCCGGCCAAUGGGGACACCUGCCCUACUCUGUGCUCUAACGGUCUGAUUUACCACUGUGUUCCCAGCACCUGCAACAGUCAGUGCCCUGCCCACAACAGGUGCUCAAACACUGAUGCAAAACACACACACACUCACACACUCUCCUUUCUAACCGGCCGGUGGGCAGUUUGUCUUGCGUCCAGCUGAGGGUUUUAUAGGCACCUUCACCUGCACCGCUUUAACCCCCGGACUCCAAACCUGUGCAAGCCCACAGUUAGUUUCAACGCGUGGUCUGGAUGUCAGAAAGGGAGGCAGCAGAGGAACGAAUAAAGGGGGCAGACUUGCAAUAAAAGGCGGAGACAGGACAGGUAGAAGGAAGAAGGGGGUGGGGGAACCAAUACUGAAUUAAAAAACCUUCAAUCCAGCUUGCUGCUCCUAAUCCUAAAACAAAAACACAGAAUUACUAUAUAGUUAAUAACUUAUUUAUUCCACAAAUAACCUAUUGAGCAUUUAUUAGGUACCAGGCAAUGGGCCAAACCCCGGGGAUAGGACAUGAACAAAACUCUCUCGAGGGGAGAACCGUAGGGCCUAUGCUAAGCACUUCAACGAAGGACAUCACUUAAUUCUCACAACAGCCCCGUGAAGUUGUGGGCAGACAACAGUGCUGCUUCAGAAGCACCUGGGAUGCCCAAGAAGCCCCCCCCCCCCCCCCGAAGGCAUCGAAAUGAUAGUCAAAACAAGGUUUUCUGAGGUGCAUGUGUGAGUCUUUCCGGUCGCCAAGAAAGCAGCAAUUCUGGAACUUCUGUCAAAAUAUCUCCAAGCUCCAGAAUAAAAUUAUUGUGGUUUGACAGACGUGGUUGGGGGCGCAGAUUGAGAGCUGUCAGUAAUCCCAAGGCUCACUGGAAGUCAGUGAACUCAGGGCUGCGCCGGGACAGCCCCCACGGCACAGACACCCAGUGCAGGUUGUUUUGCCUACAUGCACAGGAGAGCCCUAGAGAAAGGCCAUCACCAGCACACUUCCUUCAGUUGUAUCCUGUUGGCAAGGAUUGGGCCACGGCCACCGCACACUGCCUGCCUGGGGAUGGAAACACUCAACUUAUCAGAAAAAUGGGCGGAAGUUGGGGGGCCCACUUUGGAUGCAAUGGACUCACAUUCACUCCCAGCUCACUGAUGGGAAGCCUCACUCCCUGAGCAGAGAAGGUUGCUACAGGACAGGGUUAAACCGGGGCAUCGGCCAAGACAAAUUAAGCCAUCUCUACAACUGGCCUUACAGACCGAGGCAAAGGCAGGGAAGGGGACAGGAAACAGCCUUUCUCUGUCUAAAAAAUCUGGCUACAACAAAGCUGACAUUGCUCAGCAUGGCGCUGAUGCUGUCACAUGGAACCAACCAGACUUCAAUGUAAACACAAAACUCUGGCCAAGAGCCAUGUCCAAAGGGGAGACUUUAUUAUCUGAUUAUUCCAAGAGUAAUCUCAGAUUUGAUUCAAGACACUGUAAGAUUAUGAGGGUUUUUUUGUUUUUUGUUUUUUCCUCCUUCUUCCCAAAGCCCCCCAGCACACAGUUGUAUAUUUUAGUUAUGGGUCCUUCUAGUUGUGGCAUGUGGCAUGCUGCCUCAAGCGUGG